rnacentral:rRNA from 1 species
UACGUAGGGUGCAAGCGUUGUCCGGAAUUAUUGGGCGUAAAGAGCUCGUAGGCGGUUUGUCGCGUCGGAUGUGAAAGCCCGGGGCUUAACCCCGGGUCUGCAUUCGAUACGGGCAGACUAGAGUUCGGUAGGGGAGAUCGGAAUUCCUGGUGUAGCGGUGAAAUGCGCAGAUAUCAGGAGGAACACCGGUGGCGAAGGCGGAUCUCUGGGCCGAUACUGACGCUGAGGAGCGAAAGCGUGGGGAGCGAACAGG